rnacentral:lncRNA from 1 species
CUUCUGUCUUAUUUCUUUUCAUUAUCUUUAUCUUAAAGUACAAAUUAAUAAAUACAUAAGUUUAAAUCAUGGAAAAGCCUAAGGGAUUGUUGGUAUUAUAUCUUUCCAUUGAGUACAAUCACAGUGGUUGUCAACACACAUUGGAACAAAAUAAAGAUGACUAUAACACAUUUUAGGUGGACAAUCGAGGUCAAAAUCACAUCUAAGAAAAGCUUCAACUAAAAAAGAGAAUAUAAAAAUGUUAGAUUAUACAUCAAGGGAAUAAGAAAAAUAAAAAGGAUGAAAGAAUAGCAUACCUUUAAUGUCAAUAGCAAUAAGAAAUAGGGAAAGAAAA